UGGGGAAUAUUGGACAAUGGGCGCAAGCCUGAUCCAGCAAUACCGCGUGUGUGAAGAAGGCCUGAGGGUUGUAAAGCACUUUCAAUAGGGAGGAACACCUGUUUAGAUAAUAUCGGACAGACUGACAUUACCUAUAGAAGAAGCACCGGCUAACUCCGUG
rnacentral:rRNA from 1 species